AGCGAACGCUGGCGGUAGGCCUAACACAUGCAAGUCGAACGGCAGCACAGUAAGAGCUUGCUCUUACGGGUGGCGAGUGGCGGACGGGUGAGGAAUACAUCGGAAUCUACUUUUUCGUGGGGGAUAACGUAGGGAAACUUACGCUAAUACCGCAUACGACCUACGGGUGAAAGCAGGGGAUCUUCGGACCUUGCGCGGUUGAAUGAGCCGAUGUCGGAUUAGCUAGUUGGCGGGGUAAAGGCCCACCAAGGCGACGAUCCGUAGCUGGUCUGAGAGGAUGAUCAGCCACACUGGAACUGAGACACGGUCCAGACUCCUACGGGAGGCAGCAGUGGGGAAUAUUGGACAAUGGGCGAAAGCCUGAUCCAGCAAUACCGCGUGGGUGAAGAAGGCCUUCGGGUUGUAAAGCCCUUUUGUUGGGAAAGAAAAGCAGCAGGUUAAUACCCCGCUGUUAUGACGGUACCCAAAGAAUAAGCACCGGCUAACUUCGUG
rnacentral:rRNA from 1 species